rnacentral:piRNA from 1 species
CCCAUGAUAAACCCCAAUAAAAAC